CUUCGGGGCAGGGUGAGAUUCCCUACCGGCGGUAGAGCCCGCGAGCGAGUAAUCGUUGAUUUGGUGUGAUUCCAAAGCCGACAGUGACAGUCUGGAUGAUAGAAGU
rnacentral:ncRNA from 1 species